AUAAUUAUCAUAUCGUUCAUAUGUUCUCAAUCUUAAAAUCAUUCAUGAAUAUCAAAUAAAUCUAAGUGCAAUGCAUUCUUGUUACAGAUAGACAAUGAAAAACAAACAACACAGUGCACUAACCUCAUAAACAAUUUUUUUUUUCCAUCAUACUUUUCAGAUUGUUUUUUUCUUCUUCAAAAUAAAUGACGAAAGUAAACAAAAUAAACAAAAAAUAAAAAAAUAAAACCAAAACAAAAAACAAAAACAAAAAUGAAAGGAAAACUAACAUGUUGCAACAAGAAAAUAAUUCAAUAAAUACAUCUUCUCUACCCCCAACCAAAGACUAACAUUCUCCUCAAUGUUGAAACAUAUAAGCACAAGAAAAAAGAAGAGGGUAGCAUUACCUGAGAAUUGACGUCCAAAGUGAAAGCUGGCGACUUGUUAGUGUACUAAAACAAAUAAAAAUUUUAAAUUAAAAAAAAACUGAAAUGUUGAUUUUUUUUUUUUUUUUUUUACGUGAACAUAAAUGUCUAAACUAAUUAUAUACAACACUAAGGGAAGUCCAAUCAAUCAUGGUAAACAAGAUCGUUCAAAGAAACUGUCUCAUCUUCUGGAACACAUCUCCCCAAGUAAGGUUUAAGUCAUUGACUAUUAACCUUAAAAUAUGUCUGUUCUUGAAAUCCCUAACUCCAACAGUCCCAUAUGGGAAAACUCUUUUAACAAUGAAAGGCCCUAUC
rnacentral:lncRNA from 1 species